CAAAGGGUGCCUGAUAAAAAGGGUUAUUUUGAUAGAAUAUACCAUGGGAUUUCGAGCGUCCCUCCUUUGA
rnacentral:tRNA from 1 species